GGGGUUCAGUAACGAUUGGUAAAAACGUCUGCUUUCUAUGCUGGAGGUUAGGGUUCGAUUCCCCCGAUCAACU